GGAGAGAUGGCCGAGCGGUCUAAGGCGACGGUCUUGAAAACCGUUUGGGCGCAAGCCCACGGGGGUUCGAAUCCCUCUCUCUCCGCCA
rnacentral:tRNA from 1 species